CCGUGGCCCAGCGGGGUCCGGGGGAGUGCGGCACGGCGGGGAUCCGCUCCUUUCCGGUGGCCACGUGUGUGAGCGUGUGAAACUUGGCAGCCCCUCGUCCCGCUGUUUGCAGGGGAGGGGACGAGAGAGGAGGAAGAGCCGCACGUGGGGCGGCGGCUCAGCCCCGCUGUGCGCGGGCACUGGGUAGGCGGUGGGUGCUGCUGCGGAGCGCUCCUAUCUCAAACACAGCCUCGGGACCGAGUGGGCAGGAGACACACGGAGCAGACACGCGGCUGGGAGGAGACGGGAGUCUGCCACCCCCGGCACGGCGCUCUGGGUGCUGCCCGUGUCGCCCCGGGGUCCCUCCGCUCUUCUGCGCGGUGCGGAGCCGAGAGCGCAGGCAGCGGCUGCUGCUGCUGCAGGUGAAGCCCUGUCUCUCUGUUUACUUUUCCCAAGAGGGAGAAGGAGGCAGCAGGAGGGGGACGCGGCGCCGUGCGGGGCGGGCAGGCCAAUCAGCGCCGCUGUAACGCUGGGAUCGCUGCAGGACGCGCCGGGUUUUCCUCCCAUCUUCUGCCGCCGGGGCUGAAUCGGGACCGCACGGACCGACAGAGCCGCACCGGGCUGCAGGACUUCCUCACCCGCUGCUUAUCCGACAGCGAAUCCCUAUACUUCUGUAUAUAUUUAUUUUUCUUUUCUUUUUUAAUACUCUGAAAUCGUGCACGAGAAAUAUUUCGAGUCUCCCCUCCUUCCCCACGCACUUAACACCCCCAGCGGCAUCACCCCGUCGGAUUUCUGCUUUCUCCCGGGGAGGCUGAACCGAGCGGCGAGGAGCCGGGCGCGGAGCCGCUCCAUGCCGCGGGCCGUGUGCCGGCGAUGCUCGGGCGCUGAGGCCGGAGCUCCCCGCUGACGGGAGGCGGCCGAGCGCGGGGUGCUUCCAGCAGUGCGGAGCGGCCGCAGGAUGAAUAAGAGAUACUUACAGAAAGCAACGAAAGGAAAGCUGCUAAUAAUAAUUUUUGUUGUAACGCUGUGGGGGAAAUUAGCAUCUGGAGCAAAUCAUCAUAAAGCUCACCAUGUUAAAACUGGGACCUGUGAAGUGGUGGCACUCCACAGAUGUUGCAAUAAGAACAAGAUAGAAGAACGAUCACAGACAGUGAAGUGCUCCUGCUUCCCUGGGCAGGUAGCAGGUACCACCCGAGCAGCUCCUUCUUGUGUUGAUGCUUCAAUAGUGGAGCAGAAAUGGUGGUGCCACAUGCAACCAUGUCUUGAAGGGGAGGAAUGUAAGGUUCUUCCAGAUCGUAAGGGAUGGAGCUGUUCCUCUGGGAAUAAAGUGAAAACAACUAGGUUGUCUUAUAUUCCCUCAGCUCUGGCAGUAUUCGUGGAGCCAAAUGUGAGUGCACUACCUCAAAAUGCCAGCAUGGAAGCUGGUAAGCAAGUGGGGGAAAAUCACCAAAGGAAUCUGAAGCUUGGGACAAAGGUAGAAAACACAUCAGUGCUGCACUAACAGAGCAGCAGGUACCCUCAUAGAGAAGAUAAAAUUACAGUCUUUUAUGUCGUCAUGCUGCAGUCCCACUGUGGAGUUGUGAUCACCUCCAAAAACCACAAGAGGAUAUAUCCUUGUCUGCAUUACUACCGUUAUUAUCUGUUACAGAAAGCAAACGUGUAAAACUCUUCAAGUCCGAAUGGAGAAGUAGAGAAAGGAGGUUUCUGCUGUGCCUGAUGACAAUUUAUGAUUUUUCCACACAUACUAAAUAAUCUGGCUCCACGUUGGAGCACUAGUUGUGAUGAAUCCUAGUCAUGGUCGGAUUCUAAGGAAGGGCCAGAACGUUCGUUGAGGAAUAAAGAGUCAAACCACUCCAGAAAAUGUGUUCCAGCCCUGGUUUAUUACUCACAGAGCAGCAGGUAACCCGAUAGCUAAAGACAAAUCAAGUCAGUCUCAAGGCUGAUAACGUUAAAUACAACACAUAGGAAUUUCAUUUCUCCAGGCAAUCCUUGAAGUGAAAUUUUGUACUGCUGGGGUGUAGCCUUCAGAAUCAAUUGUUUCAGUGAGAACCUGGUUUGUAGUCAACAACAGCCUUGAGAUCAAAACUACUGGAAAGUUAUUUUGAACUUCUGUGUCACAAAGAUUUCAACUGAUUGAACUGUGUACACUUGUAAAAUUGCACUUGCAGAGGAAUUUGCAGCUGUAAUCUCAAAAGAUGAUUCUUGAAAGGUGCAGAAAAUCAGCAGUCACUUGGAUUCUCCUUUCCAGACUGGUGGCAUUUCAUCCUGAUGAAGUCAAUCUCCAAAAUGUAUUGGUUCCUCCCCUCUAAAAUGCUCCCUGGUCCACAUUCUGAUUGCUGGUGGGACUGCACACUGCUUUAAUUAAAUUUCCAUUGCAGAAAUUGUCCUCUGGCAUGGCACAAUUUUAGACAUUUUUAUUUGUAUUCUAAUCUUGGAGCUCUAAAGGGUACAUAUUUCAACAUCUUGAAGUUGCUUUUGUUAUAGGAAUGGAAAUAUAUAUCCAUUGUUAAUAAUUAUUGUUGACAAGUAAUAGUUAUCUGAAUACAUCAGUCAUAUUAGAAUGUAUAGUCAGGUUGACAUGUUUCCCUAAGGCUAACCAACUACUGCAGCUAUUUGGCAGUUAAAAAAAGUAGUGGUCAAAACUCAAUUACCACUUCCAUUAUAAAGCAUUUUAUACCUUUAAGAUAUAUAUUUCAAUUUACUUUGAAGGAGGCAAGUGUUCCUGCACUUUACUUUUUCAACCUUUAAAUCAUUGAAAUUCAUGGUAAGCAGUCAAGGCAAGUAUUUCAUCCAUUUUUAUAAUAGUAGGCAGGGAUGUAAAUGAGUUUUUCAAUUAUGAAAUUGGGUGGUAAUCAUUCAGAAUUUUUCUCUUUUUAUUGAAAAAUAAGACCUCUUGCUUGAAACUAAGUACUGUUGGAUGCUUAUGUAGAUGUCUGCUCGGACUGAUUGCUAUAAAAGAAAAAAGUCCUAGUGCCCUCCUAGAUGUAGGGUUCAUGAGUAUUUUGCUUGCUUAUUGUCCCCAAAUUCACACCUAAUCUGUGCCAAAAUCACAUUUCCUUUUUUUAAUUUUCUAUUUCAGUAGCAAUUUUUUUUUAAAACUUUGUGAUGUGCUGUUACAUGAGAAAAACCCCCAUAUUUAAAGGCCUUAAGCAUCUAUGAGCCUUUUUUUUUUCUAAGUUAUUACAGAAUGUAUAAUUUUAUACUUCAUUUAGUAUAUAUUGUGCCAUCUGUAAUAUUGAUACAACAAAAAUUUGGCAGUUCCUUUUAGUGACACUACAUAAGCAUGCUGAGAGAGUGAGAGAGUUCUGACUGUAUGCCUUGGUGCAUUAAAUGAAAAGCACACACACUUAAUGAUAGGCAAAAAAUACAUAGGAUGAAGCUUAUUUAAAUGUCCUGUGUGGUUACCAAACACUCUGAAAAAGAUGGAAAUAAUUUUAUCGUUAUGAGCUAUUGACAUGGCAAUGUAGUUACAUAUAAAGUUCCACAAUGGAUACAUACCUUGGAGAGAUCUGCCUGUCAGUAUCCCUGGCUGUUCCAAAACCAUUUCAUUACCUCUGUUGUAUUAUUCCACAGGAGAGCUUAAACAAAAUAAAUGAUUGUUGGGAGUAAAAUUGAGAAGUACCUUCUAUCAUUCUGCUGAGAAAUAAUAAUAAUAAUAAAAAAAUGUUUGCAGGGAAAGAUAUUCUUUUUUGAUUGAAAUUUAAUUAGGAUAAACUGUUUGUAGCAGCAAUUAGGUAUCUCAGUAUUUUAGGAUGGAUUAAUAUUGUAUGGAUUUGUGCUAAUGGGUGCAGGAUGGAAGGUAGCAUCUUAAAAAGCCUGGGACUGUGCAGAGUAUUAAUGUGGUGUUUUGUAAAAUCUGAAUAUGGCCUAUCUUUGGUCAAAAGUCUGCAUCAUGCUUCUCAAUAUUGUUUUAUUUGUUUCUUUGUUCUUAAACCAACACUGAAAAUACUGUAUUAUAUACAAGUGUAACACAUGCAUAUCAAUAAGUGAAAAUAAAUGGAUUUUCAAAUAUACUGAAUAGAUUAUCUGCAGUGGAUUAAUGUUGUGAAUAUUCAUAACAAGUGAAUAAAAUUGUGAUAUAAAACAGA